GCGUCGGUGGCUCAGUAGUUUAAGCACUUGACUUGUAAUCUGCAGGUUCUGGGUUCGAAUCCCACCAUAUGCC
rfam:Papilio xuthus contig13794, whole genome shotgun sequence.